rnacentral:rRNA from 1 species
CCUACGGGGGGCAGCAGUGAGGAAUAUUGGUCAAUGGGCGUAAGCCUGAACCAGCCAAGUCGCGUGAGGGAUGAAGGUUCUAUGGAUCGUAAACCCCUUUUAUAAGGGAAUAAAGUGUGGGACGUGUCCUAUUUUGUAUGUACCUUAUGAAUAAGGAUCGGCUAACUCCGUGCCAGCAGCCGCGGUAAUACGGAGGCUCCGUGCGUUAUCCGGAUUUAUUGGGUUUAAAGGGUGCGUAGGCGGCCUUGUAAGUGAGCGGUGAAAGUCUGUGGCUCAACCAUAGAAUGGCAGUUGAAACUGGGAGGCUUGAGUAUGUUUGAGGCAGGCGGAAUGCGUGGUGUAGCGGUGAAAUGCUUAGAUAUCGCGCAGAACCCCGAUUGCGAAGGCAGCCUGCCAGGCCAUGACUGACGCUGAUGCACGAAAGCGUGGGGAUCAAACAGGAUUAGAUACCCUUGUAGUC